GCCUCGGUGGCGGAAUUGGUAGACGCGCCGGAUUCAAAAUCCGGUACUGCAAGGUGUGUGGGUUCGAUUCCCACCCGAGGUA
rnacentral:tRNA from 1 species